rnacentral:rRNA from 1 species
UGAGGAAUAUUGGUCAAUGGGCGAGAGCCUGAACCAGCCAUGUCGCGUGAAGGAAGAAUGUCCUAUGGAUUGUAAACUUCUUUUAUACAGGAAUAAAGUGUACUACGUGUAGUAUUUUGUAUGUACUGUAUGAAUAAGGAUCGGCUAACUCCGUGCCAGCAGCCGCGGUAAUACGGAGGAUCCGAGCGUUAUCCGGAUUUAUUGGGUUUAAAGGGUGCGUAGGCGGAAUAGCAAGUCAGUGGUGAAAGUUUGCAGCUUAACUGUAAAAUUGCCAUUGAAACUGCUGUUCUUGAGUACAGUAGAGGUAGGCGGAAUGUGUAGUGUAGCGGUGAAAUGCAUAGAUAUUACACAGAACACCGAUUGCGUAGGCAGCUUACUGGAGUGUAACUGACGCUGAGGCACGAUAGCGUGGGGAUCAAACA